rnacentral:rRNA from 1 species
UACGUAGGGGGCUAGCGUUGUCCGGAAUCAUUGGGCUUAAAGCGCGUGUAGGCGGUCCGGUAAGUCCGCUGUGAAAGUCGGGGGCUCAACCCUCGGAUGCCGGUGGAUACUGUCGGGCUUGAGUACGGAAGAGGCGAGUGGAAUUCCUGGUGUAGCGGUGAAAUGCGCAGAUAUCAGGAGGAACACCAAUUGCGAAGGCAGCUCGCUGGGACGGUACUGACGCUGAGACGCGAAAGCGUGGGGAGCGAACAGG